rnacentral:rRNA from 1 species
AUUGAACGCUGGCGGCAGGCCUAACACAUGCAAGUCGAGCGAGCGGCGGACGGGUGAGUAAUGUGUGGGGAUCCGCCCGAUAGAGGGGGAUAACUACUGGAAACGGUAGCUAAUACCGCAUACCAUCGGAUGUGCCCAGAUGGGUUUAGCUAGUAGGUGGGGUAAAGGCUCACCUAGGCGACGAUGGCUGGCUGGGCUGAGAGGAUGACCAGCGACACGGGAACGAAGACACGGGCCAGACGACUACGAGACGUAGCAGUGGUGAAUAUUGCACAAUGGGCACAAGCCUGAUGCAGCCAGUCCGCGUGUAUGAAGAAGGCCUUCGGGUUGUAAAGGACUUUCAGCGGGGAGGCGUUACCCGCAGAAGAAGCACCGGCUAACUCCGUGCCAGCCGCCGCGGUAAUAC